CCAUGUCUGCCUGCAAGUCACCAUGCUUCCCAUCAUGACAAUGAACUGAAUCUCUGAACCUAUAAGCCAGCCCCAAUAAAAUGUUUUCCUUAAUCAGAGCUGUUGUGAUCAUGGGGUCUCUUCACAGCAAAAGAAACCCCAACUUAGAGAAUUACCAAAAGCAACUUGGGGAGGGAAAGGUUAUCUAACUUACAGGUCACCAUCCAGCACUGAGGAAGUCAGCGCAGGAAGCCAAGGCAGUAACCGUGGGGGAGUGCUGCUCACUGGCUUGCUCUCCCACCGACUCACGCACAGGCAGCUUCCUUACACAACCCAGGCAGGAUGGUACCAUCCACCAGGCCUGGACCCGUCUAUACUGUAGCAAUCAACAAUCAAGACAGCGCCACACAGUCAUGGCCACAGACCAACCUGAUCUGGGCAAUCUUUUAACUGAGGUGACUCUAGGUCACUUCAAGUUGAGGACAGGAGCUGACUGGAGUACACAUUGGUCUCAGCUGCCACAGGAAAGUGAAGCAGCACUAGCAACACUCCGUGAGGCACAGAAAGCGUGUACUACAGCAUCGCACCCACCAUAGGCAAAGCCAUGCGGCCAGAAUACAGCCAGUGCUUGCCCGGGCUGGGCAGGCUGGGACAGCUGGGGGUCUCUUCUGAGCAGUAACCUGUUCUGGAACCCCUGGGAUGCACAGCACUGGCUAUCAGUGGAUGAUGGGCUUCAAAAUGCACAAAAUAGUCAACUUAAAAUAUUUAUUUUUUUACUAUUUUUAUUUGUGUAUGUGUAUGAACAUGGCUACAGUGACCAGAGGAGGUUGUCAGAUCCCCUAGAGCUGGAGUUGGAGGAGGUUGUG
rnacentral:lncRNA from 1 species